GUGCUCGCUUGGGUAGCACAUAUACCGAAACUGGAACCAUACAGAGAAGAUUAGCAUGGCCCCUACGUAAGGAUGCAUGCAAAUUUGUAAAGUGUUCCAUAUUGAA